rnacentral:rRNA from 1 species
UAGUCAUAUGCUUGUGUUAAAGAUUAAGCCAUGCAUGCCUUAGUACAGGUAGCAAAACCAAAACUGCGGAUGGCUCAUUAAAUCAGUCAUAAUUUAUUUGGUGGAUAUGAAAGAUGGGCGAAAGUCCGACUUUCUUAAAGAAAGCAAUUUCUUGAAACUUUUUUAUAUGGAUAACCCUGUUAAUUGUAGAGCUAAUACAUGCACGAUAAGUUCGUAGAUGUUUUACGAGGUUUUAUUUGAUGAGUGGAACAUAAAAAUCCUAACUUCAAGGACUUAACACCUUUCAAAUUCAUGAAUCGAAAGAUAAUGAAUGGGGAAGGAGUUUCAAUCAAUAAAUGAAAUCAAACGAAGAUAUCAUAGAACAGCGCUUGUCAGCUAGACAAAUAAUCCAACUUUGCUAUGAAUAAUGGUAAAGAGGGACUCAUUAAAUCUUGAAGUAACAGGUAUUUAAUGAGAAUAAAAUAUAAUAAAAGGGCUUAUUGGACAAGGCAACGGAUGAAAAAGCAAAACAAAAAGCCAGCAAGAUAACCUCGAAAGAGGGGACUUUAAUGACCAUAUAACCGUGACCGCGAAAGCCGUCAAAGGUGAAACAUGACAAUGGAGCGAAUCGCACUAAAGGAGGGUAAWUYAAACUAUCAGGGGGUGACUCUUGGUGGGCUCUUCGGCGAUGCACCAUUCGAAUUUCUGACCUAUCAACUAGAUGGUAGGAUAGGGGCCUACCAUGGUUAUAACGGGUAACGGGGAAUUAGGGUUCGAUUCCGGAGAAGGAGCCUUAAAAACGGCUACUACUUCCAUGGAAGGCAGCAGGCGCGUAAAUUACUCGGUGCCAAUACGGCGAGGUAGUGACGACAAAUACCAAUGCCAGAACUUCCUUAACGGGAAGGUGGCAAUUGGAAUGGGCGCAAAGUAAAUAAAUGCGCGAGUAACAAUUGAAGGGCAAGUCUGGUGCCAGCAGCCGCGGUAAUUCCAGCUUCAAGAGUGUAUACUAAAGCUGUUGCGGUUAAAAGCUCGUAGUCCAAUUUGGAGGCUUUGGUAAUUUAUCUUUCUGAUUGRRUCUUUAGGGAUUUAAUUAAAAGAUAUUACCUGUCACAUUUAAUAUGGUGUGAAGGAAAUCAAUCAAGUGGAUUCAGAUUUGAUUGRGACUGAGUUAAAUCAGUAAUAAUUAAAUCAGGAUUCCUGUAUUAAUUUUCAGGUCUCUUUCCGUCUGGAUUGCCCCUCACUUUACCUUUACAGGAAGAGGUGAGAAGGACACCAGACUUAUUACUUUGAAUAAAAUAGAGUGUUCAAAGCAGGCGUAAUUCAACGCCAUGAAUAAAUUAGCAUGGGAUAAUGCAAAAACAAUAAAGUGAAUUGAUUAAUCAAUCCAAAGGAGACCGUUAACCCUUGUUUGGAUGGUUUCAGGGGGGCGCCAAUCAGAGACGGAAGGAAGUGAAGCUUCGUGCUUUAACCUUAGACUCGCCUGAUUGGAACAGGUAUAAAAAAUGCUGAAAACAACGAAUCUCUGAUUAAUCAUUAAUUCACAAYYAAUCAUCAAGAAUAACWWAAAAGUGAAUAAUAGGAGCAGUCGGGGUGGUUUAUAUUUCAUAGAGAGAGGUGAAAUUCUAUGACCUAUGAAAGAUAGACUACUGCGAAAGCAUUCCACAAGGAUGUUUCCAUUGAUCAAGAACGAAAGUUGGGGGAUYGAAGACGAUCAGAUACCGUCGUAGUCUCAACUAUAAACGAUGCCGACCAGGGAUCGGAAGAAGUCGAAAAAAGGGGCACUGGGGUUAAACCUGGAGCCCUUUCAGAGAUCUAUUGAGAGGUUAAACUUUCAAUGGAACUCGCAAGAUGUAGGACUCCUCCGGCACCUUUGAGAGAAAUCAAUGAGUGUCUGGGCUUCGGGGGGAGUAUGGUCGCAAGGCUGAAACUUAWAGGAAUUGACGGAAGGGCACCACCAGGAGUGGAGCCUGCGGCUUAAUUUGACUCAACACGGGAAAACUUACCAGGUCCAGACAGUAGUAGGAUAGACAGAUUGAGAGCUCUUUCUUGAUUUGCUGGGUGGUGGUGCAUGGCCGUUCUUAGUUGGUGGUGUGAAUUGUCUGGUCAAUUCCGAUAACGAACGAGACCUUAACCUGCUAAAUAAGUGGGAUACAGGCAACUCUGAGCAAGGAGUUUCAGGGGGUUCCCUUAGCAAUAAGGGGAUUUCAGGGGAUUCCUCAGGGAAAUGACUGUAGAAAUGUAAACCCGUCUCAAAAACGAGGACUCACUUCUUAGAGGGACUAUUUGUGUUUUGAAACCAGCAAAUGGAAGUUUGAGGCAAUAACAGGUCUGUGAUGCCCUUCGAUGUCCUGGGCCGCACGCGCGCUACAAUGAUGGAUUCAACGAGCAAUCGUAGUCAAUGGAUUUAUUUUAUUGAUUUGGGGUUAAACUCAAGUUGAAAGGAUAAAACUAAAGACUGGAUUUCCUAGUCCGAAAGGUCAGGGGAAUCUUUUUAAAGUCCAUCGUGCUGGGGAUAGAUCAUUGAAAUUAUUGGUCUUGAACGAGGAAUUCCUCGUAAGUAUGAGUCAACAGCUUGUGCUGAUUACGUCCCUGCCCUUUGUACACACCGCCCGUCGCUCCUACCGAUUGAAUGAUCCGGUGAAAACGUCAGAUUUGUUAUUCUUUCGGGAAUUUCAAAGAAGACAUUUAAACCUUAUCAUUUAGAGGAAGGAGAAGUCGUAACAAGGUUUCC